GAUGAACGCUAGCGGCAGGCCUAACACAUGCAAGUCGAGGGAGAAGCCCUUUCGGGGGCAGAAACCGGCGCACGGGUGCGUAACGCGUAUGCAACCUACCUUUCACAGGGGGAUAGCCCGAAGAAAUUUGGAUUAAUACCCCAUAAUAUUAUUGGAUGGCAUCAUUUGAUAAUUAAAACUGCGGUGGUGAAAGAUGGGCAUGCGUCCUAUUAGCUAGUUGGAGUGGUAACGGCACCCCAAGGCUACGAUAGGUAGGGGUCCUGAGAGGGAGAUCCCCCACACUGGUACUGAGACAGGGACCAGACUCCUACGGGAGGCAGCAGUGAGGAAUAGUGGUCAAUGGUCGGAAGACUGAACCAGCCAUGCCGCGUGCAGGAAGAAUGCCUUAUGGGUUGUAAACUGCUUUUAUAUGGGAAGAAUAAGGUGUACGUGUACAUUGAUGACGGUACCAUAUGAAUAAGCAGCGGCUAACUCCGUG
rnacentral:rRNA from 1 species